GGACUCAAUCACGAGUGCAAGCUCUGCAGCCAGACCUUCGACUCCCCGGCCAAACUUCAGUGUCACCUGAUCGAGCACAGCUUCGAGGGCAUGGGUGGCACCUUCAAGUGCCCUGUGUGCUUCACAGUUUUUGUUCAGGCCAGCAAGCUCCAGCAGCACAUCUUCUCCGCCCACGGCCAGGAGGACAAGAUCUACGACUGCACCCAGUGUCCGCAGAAGUUCUUCUUCCAGACCGAGCUACAGAACCACACAUUGAGCCAGCAUAACAGCUAACGUGGCAGAAGACAUCACACCAGAAGGGAAGAAUCUCACAAGGGGAAAAAAAAAAUGUCCAGUCAAAAAAUGACAAAAAUGUGGUUUGUCCUCCUACGUAUUCUUUGCACGGAACUUUCAUUGCAGUUGUACGCGAUAACAGAAAUGAUGUAUGGUAACAAAAAAAUGCCCUGUAUUAUUUUUCAAAUCAAAGGACACAAGAAAAGAAAACAAAACAAAGCCUGUGGACAUUGUGUAUUUGAAUUUUACACAUCAGGCUGACAUAAAUGUAAAUAAAAAAAAAAAAAAAAAACACUUCACAUGUCGUUAAACUUCAAGCUGUCCAGCUAUCAAAGCCUCGCAAUAUUCCGAGUUUGUUCAGAUUCUUCUCCAAAGAACAGCCGCGUCAAUCAAACAGAGCGAGGGCAACGCGUUCCGGAAGGAUGAGGGAAAAAGGAGUUUGGCUCCCGAGGGACGGGAAGGCAAUCAGGACCCUAUUCAUCAGCGGAUUGAUUUGUUCCGAUCCGCGCUUGUUUCCAAACGGUGCAUCAAUGAAUCAGCUCAGAGGCGCACUUUCAGAUUUCCUCAGACAGUCCUUGACCUCCCACGUAUAUCUGAAAAACAAAACGGCGAAGGGGAGGCCGGGUUGGAUUCGCGCAUCGUUUAAUCUGGUCUGUCCCCUAAACGGAAUUCAAGCAAAAAGCGCUCUCGAUACCGUAUAUGCAAUUUGUGGUGACGCCAGCGAGGAAGGCCGUCUUGUGGAAACGAGCAUCGAGCAAUACGGCUCUGGUAGUUUUUUUUUUCGGCGCAGGGAAAAUUUCCAGUCGAUGAAACCAACCUGUACGUUACCAUUAUUAAUGUUUACUCUCUGGACAGAA